rnacentral:rRNA from 1 species
AAAUCAGGUAGGACUACCCGCUGAACUUAAGCAUAUCAAUAAGCGGAGGAAAAGAAACUAACAAGGAUUCCCCUAGUAACUGCGAGUGAAGCGGGAAAAGCUCAAAUUUAAAAUCUGGCGGUCUUUGGCCGUCCGAGUUGUAGUCUGGAGAAGUGCUUUCCGCGCUGGACU